rnacentral:tRNA from 2 species
AUCGUCGUAGCUCAACUGGGAGAGCAACGGUCUCCAAAACCGUAGGUUCCGGGUUCGAAUCCCGGCGGCGGUG